ACCUCGGUGGUGUAGUGGUAGCACGUCUCCGCGGUAUGGAUGAAACGAGGAUUCGACUCCCGUCUGAAGUC